GAUGAACGCUGGCGGCGUGCCUAAUACAUGCAAGUCGAGCGGUAAGGCCCUUCGGGGUACACGAGCGGCGGACGGCUGAGUAGCGCGUAGGAACGUACCCCAAAGUGAGGAAUAAGCACCAGAAAUGGUGUCUAAUACCGCAUGUGGUCUUCGGAUUAAAGCCUUCGGUCGCUUUGGGAGCGGCCUGCGUAUGAUUAGCUUGUUGGUGAGGUAAUGGCUCACCAAGGCGACGAUCAUUAGCUGGUCUGAGAGGAUGAUCAGCCAGACUGGGACUGAGACACGGCCCAGACUCCUACGGGAGGCAGCAGUAGGGAAUUUUCCACAAUGGACGAAAGUCUGAUGGAGCAACGCCGCGUGCAGGAUGAAUGCCUUCGGGUUGUAAACUGCUUUUAUAGGUGAAGAUAUGACGGUAACCUAUGAAUAAGGAUCGGCUAACUCCGUGCCAGCCGCCGCAGUAA
rnacentral:rRNA from 1 species